rnacentral:lncRNA from 1 species
AAUAUGGAAUCCAUACUAUCAUAUUCCCAUUUUCUGAAAACUUAAUCAUGAGUUGGGGCUUCAAGGACAGGAGGCUUCUGACAUUGGGUUAUCUGAUGGCACAACACCAAAGAGACAUUCUACACUGGUUUGAGCUGAGAGCAAUGGACCUGAGACCAUUCUUGAAACCAGGUGUUUUAUUUUUGGUGGCUCAGGUCUAUAUUAAAGAAGAAACGAAUGGAUACCAGAUGACAACUCUGCCAUGGCAGGUAUGU